ACGGGAGGCAGCAGUGGGGAAUAUUGGGCAAUGGGCGCAAGCCUGACCCAGCAACGCCGCGUGAAGGAUGAAGGUCUUCGGAUUGUAAACUUCUUUAAUCGGGGAAGAAAAAAAUGACCUACCCGAAGAAUAAGCCACGGCUAACUACGUGCCAGCAGCCGCGGUAAUACGUAGGUGGCAAGCGUUAUCCGGAUUUACUGGGUGUAAAGGGCGUGUAGGCGGUUUGGCAAGUCAGAAGUGAAAUUCCCGGGCUUAACUUGGGCGCUGCUUCUGAAACUGCUUUACUUGAGUACUGGAGAGGAUAGUGGAAUUCCUAGUGUAGCGGUAAAAUGCGCAGAUAUUAGGAGGAACACCGGUGGCGAAGGCGGCUAUCUGGACAGUAACUGACGCUGAGGCGCGAAAGCACGGGGAGCAAACAGGAUUAGAUACCCUGGUA
rnacentral:rRNA from 1 species